ACCCAACACACACUACCGAUCAAACACACACUCCAAAAAGUUUCACUCUCGGCGGGAACAGUCGGAAACCGUCAAUCUGCGGCAAACAAAAUGGCUGAAAAGGAAAUGGACGCCGUCGGCCGCUCCCUUACCAAAGAUCAUGAUGAUCAAUCUGCAGGUACAUACUUAUCUACAUUUCUUGAAAACUGCUGUUCAUUUAUGAUCGUGUUCUGAAACUGUUAGCUUGAUUUUAGUUGCAAAUUCUAUUUCUAAGUGCUGUCUUGUGCUGCUGUUCUUAACUGCUAAUAUCUCUAGUAGUAUUUUGCUGCUUCGCUUUGUGAUUUUGUUUCGAACUAUAUAUCUUGUUUUUUAAUUUCAGUCUCGAAGUGUGCUUAGGACUUUGUUAGUUGUUGCUGUCAAUUUCUUAGUUAGUUGAUAUUUGUCUUUUAAUUA